AUGGUGUAUGCACAUGAGUGUGCAUGUGUAUGUACGUGUGUAUGUGUGCAUAUGUAUGUGUAUGUGUGUGUUUGUGUGUGUAUAUGUGUGUGAGUAUGUGUAUAUGUGUGUGCGUGUGUGCAUGUGAGUGUGUGCAUGUGAGUGUGUGUAUGUGUGUGCGAGUGUGUAUGUGUGCACGUGUGAGUGUGUGCAUGUGAAUGUGUGUAUGUGUGUGCGAGUGUGUGUAUGUGCAUGUGUGCGUGUGUGUGCAUGUGUGUGUGCAUGUGUGUGUGUGUAUAUGGCUCCCAGGAGUGAUGACCAGGAAAACCCCCCUAAAGGGAAUGAAAACCACAGGAGGGAGUGAGAAACAAGCAGACUCCCGGAAUCCCUGGCAGCACUGUUUGCCCCGAGGCUGCUUCUGGUCAGCAAGGCUUGUCCAUGCGCCAGGAUGUGCCAGCUGCCCGUUCCCUGUCACUGAGUUCCCCUCCUUCUUGUUCUGGUCUCCCAAGGAGCCACUAUGGAAGCACUAGCAGGGUCCUGUGGGAGACCCCCAGACCUCCAGUCCCCACCCCAGGGUGGAGGACCCUCUUGCGACCCCUCCUGUGUCCAGGCUGGCGUCAGCUCCUGCAGCCCAGCUCUGGAAAGCCCUGUGUUGGGUCCCCAUCCAGAGAACAGGUCUUUCAGAGGCAGCUCUUGGGUCUGGCUGGCCCCUUCUUUUCGGGAAAUCGGGCCACAGGGCGGCCCCUGCCCACCAGCCAGGCCUGGGCAUUUUCUGCCUGGAGGGCUGGGUGCCCGUUUCCUUCUGAAAGUCAAGAAACUCCCGAGCCUCAGUUUCCCCAGCUCCAAAGUGAGGAUGGCCCGUGGCAGUGCCAUGGGCAGUGCCCAGAGGAGGCUCCCUGCUGAAGGGACAGGAGCCUGUCCGAUUGUCAGGGAAGCCUGCUGUGCCUGUCCAUCCAGAUCAGAGGGAAGCUCGGCAAGCCACUUAA
rnacentral:lncRNA from 1 species